CGCAUUUUUCAAGAAAGGUCGUGCACGGUGGCAAGAAAGAAAAUGAAAAAAAUAUGAAACAAAUUUACCAAGGUAAAUUUGAAUAUAAUUACAGAAAGAAAUUCCGAAUGGAAUAGGCCGAACAUACAGCGUGAAAAGUCCCGAAAUUUGGGUAGCAAUUUAAUAAAAAACAAUUGUUUUGUUUUACUGAUCUAUAUUUAACUUUGUUUAAAAUUGAAAUGUGAUCUACAAUUUAUGCAGCGAUGGAAUAUUUUAACGCAAAUGAUUUCUCAGAGGAUGUAUACUUCUAAUUACAGGCGGACACCGUUGAUGCAGUCUAUAAAAUACUGUGUAAAUGCCGAAAAGGAACUUCUGGGAAAAUAUGGUGCUUACUCCUAUGCGACUUAUUUGGCAAUUUUCCAAAGGCAUUAAAAACUAAAUUUGUAAACGUUUUUAUUUUAACAGUUAAUAUAUACGAAAUUUAUAUUCCCAACUUGUAUAUUGGAAAUAUGUUAAUAAAAUAGAACAAGCGAUUAAUAUGAGAAUAAAUAAUACACCUACAGA